rnacentral:rRNA from 1 species
UGGUUCCUACGGGGGGCAGCAGUAGGGAAUCUUCCACAAUGGGCGAAAGCCUGAUGGAGCAACGCCGCGUGGGGGAUGAAGGUUUUCGGAUCGUAAACCUCUGUCAGGAGGGAAGAAAGCGCAUGGCGCCAAUCAGCCAUGCGUUGACGGUACCUCCAAAGGAAGCGCCGGCUAACUCCGUGCCAGCAGCCGCGGUAAUACGGAGGGCGCGAGCGUUAAUCGGAAUUACUGGGCGUAAAGCGCGCGUAGGCUGUUGUGUAAGUUGGGGGUGAAAUCCCACGGCUCAACCGUGGAACAGCCCUUGU